AACCUAUGGUUGCGACACCGUCUCAAUAAUACAUUAUACCUCUCCCAUGCAUCAUAUAGGGUCUCUAGGUCCAUUUUUUUGAAGGAAGAGAUAUCAUUCCUAAACUU
rfam:Gossypium arboreum cultivar AKA8401 contig_131471_1, whole genome shotgun sequence.